AGAGAGAGACAUGCGCGCAUAUCAAUAAGCGGAGGAAAAGAAACUAACUAAGGAUUCCCCUCAGUAACGGCGAGUGAAGCGGGAAGAGCUCAAAUUUGAAAUCUUCAAGGUUCUACCUUUACGAAUUGUAGUUUAAAGAAGUGUUUUCUGUUGAGGUUUUGGUAAAAGUUCUUUGGAAUAGGACAUCAUAGAGGGUGAGAAUCCCGUAUUUGACCAUUACUUUCAACUUUGUGAUACACUUUCAAAGAGUCGGAUUGUUUGGGAAUGCAGUCCAAAAUGGGUGGUAAAUUUCAUCUAAAGCUAAAUAUUGGCGAGAGACCGAUAGCGAACAAGUACCGUGAGGGAAAGAUGAAAAGAACUUUGAAAAGAGAGUUAAACAGUACGUGAAAUUGUCAAAAGGGAAGCGUUUGACACCAGUGUUGUUUUUCUGAAAAUCAAUUAAAGAACUGUUUAUGCUAAGCUGUUUAGACUUUAUCAGCUAUCUGUUUAGUUUUGAGCUUUUCUUUAAUGCACUUUUCAGUUAACAAGUCAACAUCAAUUUCUUUUGCUGUAAAAAAGCUUGAGGAAGGUGGCUUGAGAUUCGUCUUAAGUGUUUAUAGCCUCUUGCCUAUGCAGUCGGAGAGAUUGAGGUCUGCAGCGUAGAUCCUUCGGGGCUAGAUACAUUUGUGCUAAGUUAUAGCAUUUCAUAGACAACUUGUUGACUAUGAUUAGUCAUUGUAGCUUACUCGCUUAUGUUAUUUUACCUACGCUUAGGAUGUUGAUGUGAUACUGCGAGCA
rnacentral:rRNA from 1 species